GCAGAGUACGAGCCGGUAAGGACUGUAAUACGUAGGGUGGAGGGGGUGUGUGGUGUUAGUGGUCGGAAGAGCCGGGUGGUGGGUUGUUCUCGGCGGCUGUGGAAACCUGGGGCUCAACCCCGGGCCUGAAGCCGAGACGGGCAAACUAGAAUGCGGUAGGGGGGACUGGAAUGCGUGGUGUAGCGGUGAAAUGCGCAUAUAUCAGGAGGAACACCGGUGGUGAAGGCGGGUCUCUGGGCCGAUAUUGACGCUGAGGAGCGAAAGCGUGGGGAGCGAACAGGAUUAGAUACCCGAGUAGUC
rnacentral:rRNA from 1 species